rnacentral:rRNA from 1 species
CUACGGGAUGCAGCAGUGGGGAAUAUUGGACAAUGGGGGAAACCCUGAUGCAGCAACGCCGCGUGGAGGAUGACGCAUUUCGGUGUGUAAACUCCUUUUAUAUGUCAAGAAAAUGACGGUAGCAUAUGAAUAAGCACCGGCUAACUCCGUGCCAGCAGCCGCGGUAAUACGGAGGGUGCAAGCGUUACUCGGAAUCACUGGGCGUAAAGGACGCGUAGGCGGGUUGGAAAGUCAGGUGUGAAAUCCUACAGCUUAACUGUAGAACUGCACUUGAAACUUCUAAUCUAGAGUAUGGGAGGGGGAGAUGGAAUUAGUGGUGUAGGGGUAAAAUCCGUAGAUAUCACUAGGAAUACCUAAAGCGAAGGCGAUCUCCUGGAACAUUACUGACGCUAAGGCGUGAAAGCGUGGGGAGCAAACAGGAUUAGAUACCCGGGUAGUC